rnacentral:rRNA from 1 species
GAUGAACGCUGGCGGCGUGCCUAAUACAUGCAAGUCGAGCGAACAGACGAGGAGCUUGCUCCUCUGACGUUAGCGGCGGACGGGUGAGUAACACGUGGAUAACCUACCUAUAAGACUGGGAUAACUUCGGGAAACCGGAGCUAAUACCGGAUAAUAUAUUGAACCGCAUGGUUCAAUAGUGAAAGACGGUUUUGCUGUCACUUAUAGAUGGAUCCGCGCCGCAUUAGCUAGUUGGUAAGGUAACGGCUUACCAAGGCGACGAUGCGUAGCCGACCUGAGAGGGUGGACCGCCACACCGGAACUGAGAAACGGUCCAAAAUCCUAAGGGAAGCAGCAGUAGGGAAUCUUUCGGAAUGGGCGAAAGCCUGACGGAGCAACGCCGCGUGAGUGAUGAAGGUCUUCGGAUCGUAAAACUCUGUUAUUAGGGAAGAACAAAUGUGUAAGUAACUAUGCACGUCUUGACGGUACCUAAUCAGAAAGCCACGGCUAACUACGUG